GACAAACCUCUUGACUCCGCGUCUCCUUGAUCCCAACAUCUGGUGACCCCGACGUGAUUCACCGGAUCCCGAGGACCCCUGCUCAUCCGACUGGAAUAGUCUAGGUGCACCCGCUGGAAACAGCCACUCGUGGCAGCAUUGGUACACCGAAUAUCCCUGCAAAAACCUCAACGGCACAACGGCAUUAUCGGACGACCGAAGUUCUUCCUGCUCCAAAGGUAACCUAUCGUCAGCUACCUGGCCCGGAGUGGAGCGAACCUGUGCCACUAAUCACCUGGGGGCGCGGUUACGCAGCUGUAUCAACACCAAGCGGCCCGCUCUGGGUACCUGCACGAUACGUUCGACCAUACAAGGAUGGCGUGGCAUCAGGGACUGAGCAACCCCAUCCCUGACUUCAACAUACACUUAUAUGAUGAACAAGGAAAAGUGACAACGGGCCGAAAACGAGGGGGCCAACGAAAUGCACCUGCCACAUGGGGCCAAGUGAAGAACCUAGCUAAUCAGGCUGAACAACUGUUGGAAAAAACAAACCAAGA